rnacentral:rRNA from 1 species
GACGAACGCUGGCGGCGUGCUUAACACAUGCAAGUGGAGCGACGAACCGGGGCUUGCCCCGGGGCAGAGCCGCGAACGGGUGAGUAACACGUGGGUAACCUGCCUCAAUGAUUGGGACAACCCCGGGGAAACUCGGGCUAAUACCAAAUGUGUUCACUCCUUCUAAGGGGAGUGAGGAAAGGAAGCUUCGGCCUCCGCAUUGAGAUGGGCCCGCGGCCCAUUAGCUUGUUGGUGAGGUAACGGCUCACCAAGGCUUCGAUGGGUAGCUGGUCUGAGAGGACGAUCAGCCACACUGGGACUGAGACACGGCCCAGACUCCUACGGGAGGCAGCAGUGGGGAAUCUUGCACAAUGCGCGAAAGCGUGAUGCAGCAACGCCGCGUGGGGGAAGACGGCCUUCGGGUUGUAAACCCCGUUUCACGUU